rnacentral:pre_miRNA from 1 species
UCACCUCCGCAGGCUGCCGGCCCCCAGGCUGGGCUGGGCGAGUAUCUCUUCGAAAGGCUCACCCUCAAGCACCACUAGGAGC